GACGUAGGGCGCGAGCGUUGUCCGGAUUUAUUGGGCGUAAAGAGCUCGUAGGCGGCUUGUCGCGUCGGCCGUGAAAACUCACAACUCAAUUGUGGGCGUGCGGGCGAUACGGGCAGACUGGAGUACUGCAGGGGAGACUGGAAUUCCUGGUGUAGCGGUGGAAUGCGCAGAUAUCAGGAGGAACACCGGUGGCGAAGGCGGGUCUCUGGGCAGUAACUGACGCUGAGGAGCGAAAGCGUGGGGAGCGAACAGG
rnacentral:rRNA from 1 species